rnacentral:rRNA from 2 species
AGCUUGGUAGUUUCCACCGCCCGUCCAGGGUUGAGCCCUGGGAUUUGAUGGCGGACUUGAAAAGCCACCUACAGAUGCUUUACGCCCAAUCAUUCCAGAUAACGCUUGCAUCCUCUGUCUUACCGCGGCUGCUGGCACAGAGUUAGCUGAUGCUUAUUCCUCAGAUACCGUCGUUGUUUCUUCUCCGAGAAAAGAAGUUGACGACCCGUAGGACUUCCACCUCCACGCGGCAUUGCUCCGUCAGGCUUUCGCCCAUUACGGAAAAUUCCCCACUGCUGCCUCCCAUAGGAGUCUGGGCUGUGUCUCUGUCCCAGUGUGGCUGAUCAUCCUCUCGGACCAGCUACUGAUCAUCGCCUUGGUAAGCUAUUACCUCACCAACUAGCUAAUAAGACGCGAGCCCCUCCUUCGGCGGAUUUCACACGGAAUGAUUGGGCAUAGAGCGUCUUUAGGUGGCUUUUCAAUUCCGCCGUCAAAUCCCAGGGCCCAACCCUGGACAGGCGGUGGAAACUACCAAGCUAGAGUACGGUAGGGGCAGAGGGAAUUUCCGGUGGAGCGGUGAAAUGCAUUGAGAUCGGAAAGAACACCAACGGCGAAAGCACUCUGCUGGGCCGAAACUAACACUAAGAGAAGAAAGAUAGGGGAGCAAAUGGGAUUAGAGACCCCAGUAGUCUUAGCAAUAACGAUGGAUACUAGGUGCUGUGCGACUCGACCCGUGCAGUGAUGUAGCUAACGCGUUAAGUAUCCCGCCUGGGAGUAGGUUCGCAAGAAUGAAACUCAAAGGAAUUAAUGGGGGCCCGCACAAGCAGUGGAGCAUGUGGUUUAAUUUGAUACAAAGCAAAGAACCUUAAGAGGGCUUGACAUGCCGCGAAUCCUCUUGAAAGAGAGGGGUGCCCUCGGGAACGCGGACACAGGUGGUGCAUGGCUGUUGUCAUCUCGUGCCGUAAGGUGUUGGGUUAAGUCUCACAAUGAGCGCCACCCUCGUGUUUAGUUGCCACUAUGAGUUUGGAACCCUGAAAAGACCGCCGGUGUUAAGCCGGAGGAAAGAGAGAAUGAGGCCAAGUCAUCAUGCCCCUUAUGCCCUGGGCGACACACGUGCUACAAUGGGCGGGACAAAGGGUCGCGAUCUCUCAAGGGUGAGCUAAAUCCAAAAACCCGUCCUCAGUUUGGAUUCCAGGCUGCAACUCGCUUGCAUGAAGCAGGAAUCGCUAGUAAUUGUCGGUCAGCCAUACGGCGGUGAAUCCGUUCCCGGGCCUUGUACAUACCGCCCGUCACACUAUAGGAGCUGGCCAUGUUUGAAGUCAUUACCCUUAACCGUAAGGAGGGUGAUGCCUAAGGCUAGGCUUGCGACUGUAGUGAAAUCGUAACAAGGUAGCCAUACUGGAAGGUGCGGCUG